GAGCUAUUGCGAGGGCCGAGUAUGCAGCGCCUACUUCUGAGAAGAGGAAGCUAGGAUCUAUUGUGUUUGGUGCUGUCAGCCUACCAGUUCCAGAAAUUCUUGGUCUUCUGAAUGAUCUAGCCCAGAAAGAUCCGAAAGUUGGUGAUUUCUUGAAGGACAAAAGCUUAAAGAGCUGCAUUCAGAAGGCCCAUUUGACCUUGGCUCACAAGAGAAGUCACGAUGUCACUGCAGUUGCCAAAUACGCUUCCUUUCUUGACCAAAGGGUGCCGGUAGAGUUGGCUGCUUUGUUGUUCUCCGAAAAACUGGCUGCACUAGAAGCUGAGCCUGGCUCUGUUGAAGGUGAAAAGGUCAAUUCCGAAAACCAAUGGCCUCAUGUCACAGUAUGGACUGGCGAAGGAGUUGCAGUCAGAGAAGCCAAUACACUGCCACAAUUACUUUCACAAGGGAAGGCUACUCGAAUUGAUAUAAAUCCACCGGUCACUAUAACUGGCAAUCUCGAAUUCUUUUGAAUUCUACCUGUAACAAUUUUGUAGCAUCGUGUGCUUUUGGUGGAAACAUUUUUAUUUUUAUUUUUAUUGCAAGGGUGUGGCCUAAGUCAAUGAAGUGGGUUAGAACCAUGAGGUCUCAUGCUCAAUUCUCAACGGAAACAAAAAACACUAGAUGAUUUCUUCCUAUCUGUCCAAGCCUUGGUGGAUAGAGUUAUCUGGUACCUGUUGUUGGUGGGAGGUAGCAGGUAUCCCAUGGAAUUAGCCGAGGUGUGCGCAAGCUGGCACCAUGGUUAUUUAAAAAACAGUUUUGCAGGAUAGAGUUAGAUUUAGAGAAAUGUAUAAUGUCUAUGCAUUCUAGAGCUGCAGGUACUUUGACGCUGCAGGUAGCAGAUUAUUGAAUAAAAUAAACUAUUUUCUA